rnacentral:rRNA from 1 species
AUGAACAUGAGAGUUUGAUCCUGGCUCAGGACGAACGCUGGCGGCGUGCCUAACACAUGCAAGUCGAGCGGGCCUGUCAAGGCGUUAUGUUUUGGCAGGUUUA